rnacentral:rRNA from 1 species
UACGGAGGGUGCAAGCGUUAUCCGGAUUUACUGGGUUUAAAGGGUGCGCAGGCGGAUAUGUAAGUCAGUGGUGAAAUCUCUAGGCUUAACCUGGAAAUUGCCGUUGAUACUAUAUAUCUUGAAUGCUGUGGAGGUAAGCGGAAUAUGUCAUGUAGCGGUGAAAUGCUUAGAUAUGACAUAGAACACCUAUUGCGAGGGCAGCUUACUACGCAGAUAUUGACGCUCAUGCACGAAAGCGUGGGGAUCAAACAGG